CCGUCGCCGCACUCGGUCGUCUGCGUCGUGAACGAGCACGUCGAAACGACGUUGACGUGAGGCUUCAAGAUGGCGGAAGCCUUGACGAGUCAGGAGGAACUGGCGGUGGAGGAGUUCCUGAGUGAGGUGCGUAGCAGGGAACAUCCCCACAGUGCUGCUCUGGUCUCUCAGCCGACCGCCGUCAAGUUCCUCAUGGCGCGCAAGUUUGAUGUCUCCCGAGCAAUAGACCUCUUCCAGGCAUACAAGAACACGAGGAUUAAGGAGGGCAUCUUCAACAUUAACCCAGAAGAGGAACCUCUCCGUUCUGAACUGCUCAGCGGAAAGUUCACCGUCCUGGUGAGGCCUGUGUGUGUGUGUGUGUGUGUGUGUGUGUGUGUGUGUGUGUGUGUCAGGGUUUUCUUUAGGAAAAUGUAGCGCCCAGACAACGUGACCAGGGAAUAAUUUGAUUUACUGGCCACUUUGAUACAUUUACAGGAUCCAUAUUCUUUGGGAGUGAUGGAGGUAGAUAUGUAUAGGGGGAAGGAGACAGGGAUACUGGAGUGAUGGAGGU